GGGCGGUUAGCUCAGCCCGGAGUGAGCGCUUUCUUGACAUGAAAGAGGUCACAGGUUCAAAUCCUGUACCGCCCA
rnacentral:tRNA from 1 species